CAAUAGCGUAUAUUAAAGUUGUUGCAGUUAAAAAGCUCGUAGUUGGAUUUCUGAUCGAGACAUCAGGUCGGGUCCGAGAGGAUCAUGUACUUUGAUUUUGUUUUGAUCAUUCUUGGGGAGAGCAUUUCUGGCAUUCAGUUGUCGGGAUUGGGAUCCUCAUCGUUUACUGUGAAAAAAUUAGAGUGUUCAAAGCAGGCCUCGGCCUCUGAAUACAUUAGCAUGGAAUAAUAAGAUAGGACUUUGGUGGUCUAUUUUGUUGGUUUGCACGCCAAAGUAAUGAUUAAUAGGGAUAGUUGGGGGUAUUCGUAUUCAAUUGUCAGAGGUGAAAUUCUUGGAUUUAUGGAAGACGAACUACUGCGAAAGCAUUUACCAAGGAUGUUUUCAUUAA
rnacentral:rRNA from 1 species